GCGGGUAUGGCGGAACUGGUAGACGCGCUAGACUUAGGAUCUAGUGUUUCACAACGUGGGGGUUCAAGUCCCUCUACCCGCACCA
rnacentral:tRNA from 1 species